AACAAACGCUGGCGGCGUGCCUAAUACAUGCAAGUCGAACGGGGAAAGCUUUCGGGUGAGUACUAGUGGCGCACGGGUGAGUAAUGCGUGGAUAAUCUGCCUUGAAGAGGGGGAUAACCAGUCGAAAGAUUGGCUAAUACCGCAUAAGACCACAGGAACUGAGGUUCUAGAGGUCAAAGGUUUUUCGCUUCAAGAUGAGUCCGCGUAAGCAUAGCUAGUUGGUGAGGUAACGGCUCACCAAGGCGACGAUCUUUAACUGGUCUGAGAGGAUGGUCAGUCCCACCGGAACUGCGACACGGUCCAGACUCCUACGGGAGGCAGCAGUAGGGAAUAUUGCACAAUGGAGGAAACUCUGAUGCAGCGACGCCGCGUGAGUGAUGAAGGCCUUCGGGUCGUAAAGCUCUGUCGCAGGGGAAUAACACAAUGAAGGUACCCUGUAAGAAAGGAUCGGCUAACUUCGUGCCAGCAGCCGCCGUAAAAC
rnacentral:rRNA from 1 species